rnacentral:rRNA from 1 species
GACGAACGCUGGCGGCGUGCUUAACACAUGCAAGUCGAGCGGCGCGGCGAACGGGUGAGUAACGCGUGAGUAACUGCCCCCCUCUCUGGGAUAACAGUUGGAAACGGCUGCUAAUACCGGAUAGUGCGGGAUGACUCGCGUCCUAUCAGCUUGUUGGUCGGGUAGUGGCCUACCACGGCGACGACGGGUAGCCGGCCUGAGAGGGGGACCAGCCACAUUGGGCUGAGAUACGGCCCAAACGGCUACGGGAGGCAGUAGUGGGGAAUAUUGCACAAUGGGGGAACCCCUGAUGCAGCAACGCGCGUGCGGGAGGACGGCUUUCGGGUUGUAAACCGCUUUCAGCCAUGACGCGGUAGUGGCAGAAGAAGCACCGGCUAACUACGUGCCAGCAGCCGCGGUAAUAC